rnacentral:rRNA from 1 species
UACCAUGGCGAUCACGGGUAACGGAGGAUUAGGGUUCGAUUCCGGAGAGGGAGCCUGAGAAACGGCUACCACAUCUAAGGAAGGCAGCAGGCGCGUAAAUUACCCAAUCGCGACUCGCGGAGGUAGUGACAAGAAAUAACGGACCGAAGCCUAUGUUUCGGGAUUGCAAUGAGUAGAAUUUAAACCCCUUUACGAGGAUCAAUUGGAGGGCAAGUCUGGUGCCAGCAGCCGCGGUAAUUCCAGCUCCAAUAGCAUAUAUUAAAGUUGUUGCAGUUAAAAAGCUCGUAGUUGAAUUUCUGGUGGGUUCCCAAUGUCGGCUCGAUGCUUGUGCAGCGGGGACCUACCAUCCUUCUGUUAACGUUUCACGGUAUUAACUUACUGGUUGCGGGCUCAGAUAUUUUACCUUGAGAAAAUUAGAGUGUUUCAGGCAGGCUUGCGCUUGAAUACAUUAGCAUGGAAUAAUAGAAUAGGACUUUAGUCUCCUUUGUCGGUUUGAGGGACUGGAGUAAUGAUUAAUAGGGACAGUUGGGGGCAUUAGUAUUUAAUUGUCAGAGGUGAAAUUCUCGGAUUUGUUAAAGACUAACUUAU